rnacentral:rRNA from 1 species
CGCGCAGCUACACAUGCAGUCGAGCGGGGGAGAUUGCUUCGGUAAUUGACCUAGCGGCGGACGGGUGAGUAAUACUUAGGAAUCUGCCUAUUAAUGGGGGACAACAUCUCGAAAGGGAUGCUAAUACCGCAUACGCCCUACGGGGGAAAGCAGGGGAUCACUUGUGACCUUGCGUUAAUAGAUGAGCCUAAGUCGGAUUAGCUAGUUGGUGGGGUAAAGGCCUACCAAGGCGACGAUCUGUAGCGGGUCUGAGAGGAUGAUCCGCCACACUGGGACUGAGACACGGCCCAGACUCCUACGGGAGGCAGCAGUGGGGAAUAUUGGACAAUGGGGGGAACCCUGAUCCAGCCAUGCCGCGUGUGUGAAGAAGGCCUUAUGGUUGUAAAGCACUUUAAGCGAGGAGGAGGCUCCUGUAGUUAAUACCUACAGUGAGUGGACGUUACUCGCAGAAUAAGCACCGGCUAACUCUGUGCCAGCAGCCGCGGUAAUACAGAGGGUGCGAGCGUUAAUCGGAUUUACUGGGCGUAAAGAGUGCGUAGGCGGCUUUUUAAGUCGGAUGUGAAAUACCCGAGCAUAUUUUGUGAGUAGCUUCCUCUUA